GACGAACGCUGGCGGCGUGCUUAACACAUGCAAGUCGAACGGAAAGGCCCUGCUUUUGUGGGGUGCUCGAGUGGCGAACGGGUGAGUAACACGUGAGUAACCUGCCCUUGACUUUGGGAUAACUUCAGGAAACUGGGGCUAAUACCGGAUAGGAGCUCCUGCUGCAUGGUGGGGGUUGGAAAGUUUCGGCGGUUGGGGAUGGACUCGCGGCUUAUCAGCUUGUUGGUGGGGUAGUGGCUUACAAAGGCUUUGACGGGUAGCCGGCCUGAGAGGGGGACCGGCGACAUUGGGACUGAGGUACGGCCCAGACGCCUACGGGAGGCAGCAGUGGGGAAUAUUGCGCAAUGGGCGGAAGCCUGAUGCAGCAACGCCGCGUGCGGGAUGACGGCCUUCGGGUUGUAAACCGCUUUCGCCUGUGACGAAGCGUGAGUGACGGUAAUGGGUAAAGAAGCACCGGCUAACUACGUG
rnacentral:rRNA from 1 species